UACGUAGGGUGCAAGCGUUGUCCGGAAUUAUUGGGCGUAAAGAGCUCGUAGGCGGUUUGUCGCGUCUGCUGUGAAAACUGGAGGCUCAACCUCCAGCCUGCAGUGGGUACGGGCAGGCUAGAGUGCGGUAGGGGAGACUGGAAUUCCUGGUGUAGCGGUGAAAUGCGCAGAUAUCAGGAGGAACACCGGUGGCGAAGGCGGGUCUCUGGGCCGUAACUGACGCUGAGGAGCGAAAGCAUGGGGAGCGAACAGG
rnacentral:rRNA from 1 species